rnacentral:rRNA from 1 species
UACGUAGGGGGCAAGCGUUGUCCGGAAUUAUUGGGCGUAAAGAGCGCGUAGGCGGUCCGAUAAGUCGGCUGUGAAAGUCAGGGGCUCAACCCUUGAAAGCCGGCCGAUACUGUCGGACUAGAGUCCGGAAGAGGCAAGUGGAAUUCCCGGUGUAGCGGUGAAAUGCGCAGAUAUCGGGAGGUACACCAAUGGCGAAGGCAGCUUGCUGGGACGGUACUGACGCUGAGGCGCGAAAGCGUGGGGAGCAAACAGG